rnacentral:rRNA from 1 species
AUGGAGGGUUUGAUCCUGGCUCAGGACGAACGCUGGCGGCGUGCCUAAGGCAUGCAAGUCGAGCGGUAGCUCCUAUUGGUUUAUGC